rnacentral:tRNA from 1 species
UCUCGGUUAGUUCAGCAGCCAGAACGGCAGUUUUACAUACUGCGCGUCGGGGGUGCGAGUCCCCCACCGAGAACCA